GGUCAAUGGGAAGCGGUGCGUUCACGCUCCCUGGAAAACAUGGGAAAACUGCAAGCGCGCCCCGCCACAGUCCCGCCCCACGCAGCGUGGGCAGAAUCACGGAACCCUGAAGAGUCAGGACCGUUUCACGCUUUAUUUUAACGGUUUGUUUUUAACGGUUUAUGUUAACGUUUCAUUACCAGGGUAGGAUUAUAAUAAACUGCACUGAUUUAUUUAAACACUUUACAAAUCCUGCAGACAGGUCGGUUAAAAGUUUCCCAAGGAGACCCAGCCGGUUGCAGGCAGAUUUCACUCCAUUCUGUGAUGAGAUUUAAAACCAGAUUAAAAAAAUCUGCAGGAUUUGAUGCAGAAGCUUCAGGCUCACUGAAGAACAACCAGCUUUAACAGGAAGAAACCUCCAGCAGAACCAGAACCAGAACCAGGCUCAGAGUGAACGGCCAUCUGCCACGACCCACAGAAAUAACACAGAACCACUGACCCAGGGGUACUUUCUAUGUCAGAGAAACAUAAAAACAUUUUAGUCUAACAAUAUACUUUCCAGGUUAGUACAAUAUAUAAUCACUUAUUACAAUAUACAUAUUUUAUUGUAGCAUACAAUCUAUAUUGUUUAAACAAAGGUUUCAAAUUAAAACAAUACAUGUUUUAUUAUCUUAUAACAUUAAGACUUUCCUGUUUGUCGGUUGUUUAUUCUAACAUUGUUUUUUUCUUCCUCUUCAUCAGAUCCAGUUUUAUUUUAUUUUCUGCUGUUUCUGACGUGGAAAAAUAAAACCAUGUAGGGUGAAAUAAAGACAAUACAAGUUUGAUUUCAUGAUUUUUAAUUUUAUAUGUGUUCAUUGCAAAUAACAUGGACCUUAAUGUGAUUAAAAUCUAACGUGACUCAGGGUUUCUACACAUUUCCAUGUAAAAGUUCCAGACUUUUCCAGAGUUCCCAGUCCUUCGCCUUCAUUUCAAAAUAUAAAAUAA